rnacentral:rRNA from 1 species
UACGAAGGGGGCUAGCGUUGCUCGGAAUCACUGGGCGUAAAGCGCGUGUAGGCGGCUUUGCAAGUCGGGUGUGAAAGCCCUCAGCUCAACUGAGGAAGUGCGCCCGAAACUGCAGAGCUUGAGUGCCGGAGAGGGUGGCGGAAUUCCCGGUGUAGCGGUGAAAUGCGUAGAGAUCGGGAGGAACACCAGUGGCGAAGGCGGCCACCUGGAUGGGCACUGACACUCAACUGCGAAAGCGUGGGGAGCAAACAGG